rnacentral:pre_miRNA from 1 species
CAUCUUCCAGUACAGUGUUGGAUGGUCUAGUCACGAAGCUCCUAACACUGUCUGGUAAAGAUGGC